CGUGUCUAGAUGCAGUACAAUGCAUUACACCUUUCGUUUAGUGUAGAUAGUGAUCGAGGUCUAAGCAAGACCAGUUGGACAGAAGGAUCUGUGAAAGACCAGUAAGCUCUUAUAUAAAAGCUGAAAUGAGAGGUUGUUAUAUUUUUUUUCCUUUUUCCUUUUUUUCUUUUUUUCUGUUUUUGAGGUUGUUAUAUUUACCAGAUGGCUCAUGACUACAAGCCGAGAACAAUUAUUUAUCUCAGCACUUAUUUAACAAACACUAGACAAAUAUUCACAAUCUUUAACUAAAACAUAAGAUGCAAAUUCAACAAAAUCUGA
rnacentral:lncRNA from 1 species